UACUGUUCAUUUAACAGUAAAAUUCCGGUUCUGCCCUGGUAAUACAUCUAAAGCUGGGUUGCACUGUUACACUGUUCAUCGUGAAUUGUCGCUUUUGCCCUCGCUUGAAAUUGUUUUUGCAUUUAAAGCAAAUUAUACAACCGUUGAUUUCCUCCUCCUUCGACCGUUCUGCAACCAUCUUCAUCAGUUAUCAAGAAAGAGAGAGAGAGAGAGAGAGAUCGGUUGUCGUCGCCGCGUGAAUCCGGGGUGUUCGAGUGGUUGAUUUGAAGGGGUUAAAGGUGAGGCUUCGAGUGUGGCUUUUAAUUAAUGUUGAUUUCGAGUGUUUUUGGGUGUUUUCUUUGUUCUAGAGUGGUGAUAAUUGUUUGGUCCUGUGUCAUCUUUUAUCAACACUCAAUGCCAGAGAACCUCGAUCAAAGGCUGAAACGAACAAAUUAAAACAGUCCCUUAAAUUUUCAAAGCCUUCAUCUUGAAACGAAAUAGGACCAAAGUCCACAGAGAAAUAAUAUGUGCUGCGAUUAUAUAUGUUGAAUGCAAAAUUAAUUAUGAGAUUGAGUUGGGUGGUUUAAAAUGCAGAGCAGUCGGUUGAAAUUGAGAAGGAUGUGGUGAGGGAGAGAUAUAUAGUGUUAAUUAAUUGGAAUCACCUGAAUUGAAGAUGAGAUGAUCAUGAGAGGAGAAGAGUCGAAUUGUUGGAUGGGUGCGUCGAGAAUUGGGAGCUGAGAGCAGAGCAGAGAAAUGGAGAUGAUGGAGAGGGAGAGCGACGUGUGCCUAAAAUACGAGGGAAAUGGGCCAAAUGGCUACUCACCAUAACACCACCAUAUAUAUACCCGUCUCUCCCCUCUGUCUCUCUCCUUUCUACUCACCAGUAAUUAAUUCAUUUUCAUCUUUCUCUUCGUUUUUAUUUUUUCAUUUUCCUCACGUAGUCUCUCGAAAAAUUGCAUUUAUAUGCAAUCAUUCCAAUUUUUUUUUUUUUUUUGCUUAUUUGAUUGACGAGCCAAAUAUGAAUGAAUAAGGGUACGAUGUGAUGAGGGAAACUGAGAUUACUACCAAAUAUGCUACCUUUGAUAUGAAUCAUAUCCAAGUAUUCAACCUAAACACUUUUUCAAUCUCUUCAGCUGAGAACAAAAGACAACAGAAAGAACCAUGAGCAGAGAAUCAUCAAUAAUACUACUGCUUCAAGCAUGUUUCAGUUGAACUUGAUUUUGUACAGUUUACACUGCAGAGCUGGACACUUUAUUUACAGGGCAUACAUAGGAUCUAUACAAAUCUUGCGACGCAAACAGCUUUAUUUCCCAACAAUCUGCUGCAGAAAAGUUCUCCAGUAUUUCGGAUUUUGAUGAACUUUUGGAGCAAGGUUUGGGUUUGUUUCGGAAAAGCUUGCUGCUAGAAUUUUGAUCGACUUCGGGAGAAACAUUUCAAUUGAAGCCGCUUAACCUCAAAAUGGAAGAGAGAUUGCAGUAGUCAUAUAUUUCCUCGCUGACUGGAAAGUCAAAAUCAUCUCUUUGCAUGGAUUUUCAAAGCACUCAAAUCUUUCAAAUGAGCAAAUUCUCGACUGGAUAUUGAGGUUGCUCUUCUCUGGUCAUGAAACUUCAUCAGUAUCCAUAGCUUUAGUCAUAUAUUUCGUGUCUGACUCUCCUAAUACAAUUGAACAAUAACAUACAACGAUUUUUCCGCAGCAACGCGCGGGCA